rnacentral:lncRNA from 1 species
CAGUAAAUGUACCCAAGGGGUAAAUAAAAUUAAUUGCACUAUUAUAUGUUAAAAAUAUUGUUUUUCCUCUAUAAAGUGAUGAAAACAUAUUUUGUAUCUAGAAAGAAAAAAAUGGUUAAAACUGUUGUGUUUUUGUAUGGUAUAGUUUUGUUUCUUAUCUUAUUUCUUGUGGGAAUAGAAGGUGAAGGUAAGCCAUUUUUCAUUGCAGCAUCCACUAAUUGUGAAGAUGAUGCUAAUUGUCCACAAAUUUUUGGCUUAUACCCUUUUAUAUAUAAGUGCAUUGACAACGUUUGUGAACUUACUAAAGUGCAACCAUACAUUGAGUGAAUAUAACACUUAAGAGAGUACACAAACUCCAUUCUGGCAAGAAUGAGUUUUUUUUUAAUCUGUUGAAUGAGUUGUUUUACCAGGUAUAAAAAUAUGCAAUAUAUUUUAUGAUAGUUUGAGAUGUAACACAAUGGUCUUCAAUUUUGACAUAUUACUGUGUUUAUUUCAUGGAUUUAAACUUUAUUUUAAAAGAGGUUGAAAAUCAUAUUUUAAUGUUCAUUUUAAGUUUAUUAAAUUAUAUUCGGAUAUCUUUUAUUCUUGAUUUUUUUUUUCAAAUAAAAGGGUGAAAAUCACAUAUUUCAAUAGAAAUAAGAGAUAAUCACCCGUAACCUCUC